UGCAUGGACAGAAGAAUAAAGAUACAGCAUAUUUUUAAUAUAAGAAGAGCAAAAAGGUACUAAAACCACAAUCAAGGCUAAUUGGUGAAUAUGCAGGGAACAUUUUAAUUUCAGACCAAUUCGGUGAAGUUGCAUUGUUACGGUGGUUGGGAAUUAUAAGUCCUUCCAGUGUUACUCCUCACAUGCCUAACAAAUAGACUGUAAAUGUAAAGAUGUCAAUGUGUACAUUUCUUGUUGUAAAGAAGCAGAAGAAGAGGAAGAGAAAAAAAACAAUACACCAGGACGGAAUUAUUUAUCAUCCUAUCCUGGGCCUCAGUUAUGACUACAUAUCAAAGACACAUCGGCAAAAUGGCAACCUGUGCAUGGGACUCCCAAACAGUGAACGAGGACCAUUUUGAUCUCAGUUUUUUUUUUUUUUUUUUUUUACAUUUGUGACAGCAGCCUUGGUAAGAAGUCACAUUACUACACUGACUUUUGUACACAAGCAUAUGUUAACCAUUGUGCAGAGCUUUGUCAUACUUAUGGAACAUCCAUUGGGAAAAUCCAAACCUUUUUUUUUCUUUCUUAGUACCAUAUCCUUCACAUACAGCCUAAGGUCCAUGUACUAGUAUGCUCUUUGUCUUUGCUCAUAAGGUAAGGCAAGUAAGAGUGUUGUGUCUUGCGAGUAAUGUUUUCCCCUGCUACUAGUGUCAGUUUUGGCCUCCUAGCACCCAAUUAAAUCUCACUAAUAACACUACCAGGGAAGACUAUUAGUAUUUGGCAUGUGUCGUGCUCUCGUAGUCUCUCUGUCAAGGAUAUUGAAUAAGUAAUGGUUUUAAAGUCGUUUUUUUAAAGCCAUAAUAAAUCAGUGUCCUUAAUUUCCAGUUGAAGGUUCAUGUACCAGUUCAACCUUAAUCCUCAUUUGUAAGACAGUUCAGGUCAUUACGAGGAUGCCAGUGUCUUGUACAAUAUGUCUGAGCUUUCUGGACAGUAGUAUGACAACUUCGGCCGACUAGUAGGACAGCAACAUGUUGCUAGAAGACGACUGUGCACAGUUGACAUCUGUGCACGACGAGUGAAGCACAUGAUGUGAACUGGUACAUUUUGUAAUCGUAGUGUGUAAUUGAAUAUUAGUAGCACAUUGUUUGAGCAUUUUAAUCAAUACCUAGUUAUCCUUAAUGCUUGAGGUCAUACAAAAGUGUCACAAGUCGUGGAAAAACAUCACUAAAGAGGCACAGUUUUUCUAAGUGUCCAACCCUAGUUCUACUCGUUCUCAGAAUUGUUUUACACAUGAGGACAAAGAGUGUGCUUGUACGCUGACCUUAAAUUGGAUAUCAACAAUAUGAGAUUAGUGCCCCAAUGACUUUUCCUCUGUCCUCAUUUCGAAAAGCCUUUGAACCGUGCUACGUGUACCACAUCACUGUGGAAGAGAGAGAGGCAUCAAUGUGAGGAAGAGGAUGAGGAUGGGGCGGAGUGCCUUACUCAAAACCCACGCAGAGAAAUUGGGGACGAGCGGCACGGCACGAGUGUGCACGCACACAUAUCAGCCUGGUGAUGACAUUGCUGCUGAUCAUAAUCAGAGAGCUGGACUUGCAAAAGUAGGUCAAUAGUUUUUACUGUCGGGGGGGACAACAACAGUUUUAUGAUGUCACAAUUAUCACAUACAAAUUAUGACUAGAGGUGGCAAAAGUACUCUGCAGUUCAGUAGAAGUACACACGCACACAAAAAAGGAAAGGUAAAAGUAGAAGUGCUGAGUCAUUCCUAAAUAGUAAGAGUAAAAAAAAAGUACAAACGAAUCCUUACUAUCCAUUAUACUUUAUCCGAUACCAAGUGUGAUAACUUGGCACAAUGCUUGGGGGGGGGGAAAAAAAAAAAACAACAAACAAGCUAGAACUCGAUCAAUAUACUACUAACAUUGUAUGGUUAUCUAAAAAGAAAUAUUUUAUAUAUUUAUUACCUUUGCACCCCCUGUACGAUACAAAACCAUUCUACAGAACCAAGGUGGGACACAUCAGCGAGUCAAAGGAUUAAGCAUUGGUGUCGGUUUUUGUUUUUUUUCUUGCUUUUUUUGCUUGUUUCUUUGUUCUUGGAACAUAUCAGCGACAAGAAAACGCAGCAGGGAAUUUGAAAAUGAAAAACUGCACUUAAAUUAGUAGUCAGUUCAAAUAUUCUGCACAUAAAAGUUAAAUAAAAACAAACCUGGAUUGAGUUCAUAACCAAAAAAAUUCUUGAAUAUACAUUACAAUACAAUACAUGCUGAUUUAUAUAGCGCUUUCACAACUGCGGCAGCUGUAACAAAGCGCUUAACAAAACAGUUAACAUAAAGUAAAAUAAUCAACACAACACAUAACAUAAAACACAAUGCAGAUGUCUUGUACAAAAAAGCCAAACCCGAACCCUAUUCCGAUGAAGGUGGGACGUUGUGUUAAAUAUAAAUAAAAAGAGAAUACAAUGAUCAUGUUCAACCUAUAUUUAAUUGAAUAAAAUGCAAAGACAAUAAUACAUUUAAUGUUCAAGCUGAUAAACUUUAUUGUGUUGAGCAAAUAAUCAUUAACUUUUCAUUUUAUAGCUGCAAUGCUUACCGAAAAAGCCGCUUACCACUGUGUUCCAUCACCUUUUCUUUUCACACCAUUUGAACUGAGGACACUAAUUGUUCACAUUUAGUAUGUUGGAAUUCUUUCCCAUUCUUGCUUAAUGUACAGUUUCAGCUGUUCAACUGUCCAGGGUCUCCGUUGUUUGUAUUUUAUGCUUCAUAAAACACUACACAUUUUCAAUGGGACACAGGUCUGGACUGCAGGCAGGCCACUCGAGUACCCGCACUAUUCUGCUCCAAAGCGUAGGUAUAAUGUGCAGAAUGUGGUUUGGCAUUGUCAUGCUGAAAUAAGUAGGGGCGGCCAUGAAAAAGACGGUGGCAGCAUGUUUCUCAAACUCUGUAUGUACCUUUCAACAUGAAUGGUGUCUUCGGAGACCUUUUUAUUACACGUAUGCCUUUGGCACGAAAACAGCAAAGGUUGUGUCCAAAACAGUGUGGAUGGUACUUUUCCUCUUUGGCCUGGAGGACAAGAUGACCACAAUUUUCCAAAACAAAAUUUAAAAAAAAUGUGUUUGAAAUGUGGACUCGUCAGACCACAGAACACUUUUCCACGUUGCCCCAGUCCGUCUUAGAUGAGCUCUGACCCACAGAAGCCAGUGGUGUUUCUGGGUGUUGUUGAUAAACGGCUUUUGCUUUGCAUAAUAGAAUUUUAAGUUGCACUUACAGAUGUAGCCCCAAAUGCACAUGUUACGGCCAUAAAAUUCUUAAGUUGAUGAUUAUUUGCUCAAAACAUGCUCAAAAGGUUGUCAAUUUGAACAAUAAAUCUUUAUAGUGGAAUCAAUUAAAUAUAAGUUGAACAUGAUUUGCAAAUAAUUGUAUUCUGAUUUUAAUUUAUGUUUAACACAACAGCCCAACUUGGAAUUGGGUUUGAACAACGGAGGUGUUCUCGGGCAGAAAUUUAUUCUCAUGCCACUAGAGGGAGCCUUCCACUUCGCCCAUUUUAAUUUUUGGUCAAAAAUGUAAUUGGAAUUGCCAACCACGUCUAAUUGUGUUUGACCUAGGAUGUUCCACUGAAUUUUUCUUCACCUUUGUUUUUCCUCAUGCUUUAGUGUGCGGCAGCAUUUUGUAGCAGCUAAAAAGCAGAGAAAUCCAGUUUGCAGUCUUGUCCCCUCCUUCAAAAGGUGUCCGUUCACAUGUGGAGCUUUGAUGGCGAGAAAACUUCAUGGCAUUCAAAUGCUCUUUUGACAAAGGGUAAAAGUAACCAUUAGGACACAAAGUAGCAUUAGCAAUGGCAAAACAGAUGCAGGAAUCGAUGGAAGGUUCCGCUGCCAGUUUGUGUCAUUUAUAAAACCAUAAUAUUUAACCGUAACCCUGGUUCCCUAUUCUAAAUUUGUUAACCUGGUCAAGGAAAUUUAGGAUCAGUCUAUCUUCCUACAUCAUCGCUGUCGGGCGGAACCGUCUAAACAAUUUUUCAGGAAACAAAAAAAGAAAAAAAAACAUCCAUUAUUUUUGUUAACUAACAUUUUAUAGUUAAAGAAAGCAAGGUAUUAUUAAUGCUUUAGAUCCAUUAAUACAGUGGUGCCUUGAGAUACGAGGUUUGCUGUGUGACCACGAUCGUAACUCAAACUCCUAUCCCAAAUCAUUAUGGCUCACUGAAAUGAACGGAAAUUAACCACCAUUUGGCCACCAGGCUUCAUCACAAUGCAGUUAUGCAGACACAACCCAACACAACUUUAAGUGACUCGGUAAGCUGCAGUAACAUAAGCCAAUCUGAAAGGGUGAAGAAAAUAUGCGUGUGGGUAUUGUUAUAUUUUCUUUCCAUGUGUUGCUGGAUUGUAUGUAUUCAAAUAUUGGUUGUUAAAAGCAUUACAACACUGAAAAAAAAUAUGCCAUGUGUUACUCUGUCUAUGGCAUUUUGCAUUGUGUUAGCAUUAAGCUAGUGGAGGGCAGUCAUGUGGUUUUAAAUUCAUGUGUCUUUAAUGCACAGAUUGAUGGAAAACUGACAGUGCUCAUUUUUGAAGAAUCUUUAACUGUGAUGCUUCUAAUUUGAGAUGAAUUCACUGCUACGAUAUGGUGCAUCUCAAUCUUUUUGUCCUCACAAAUAAAAACCAGUAAAAAAAAAAAAAAAAAGGUUCUUACAGUUCACACCUCAAGGCACAACUGUUUUUGCUUGACAAAAAUAGUGUCGAUUUGUGGCUCCCGCCCAACAGCGAUGACCCUGUAUGUCAGUUGGAGUCGUGUAACAUGCAAGUGAAUGUCACACACUGACUACAUGCAUUGUCCAAGACUUUCAACAUCCAGCCUGAUUGUCACUCGUCUUAUUUGAAGCAAAGUUGAUGAGUGUGAUGGAGUAAAAGGUCAGAAUAUGUCCUCCAUUUCCGCUGGCACGCGCCCACCCUGUAUAUUAAGAGUCAUUUUGUAUACAGCAAAUGAAGAAAAAAAAGAGCCACCUCUCUAUGUGAAGAACAAUGGCACGUUCAUGAUCCCAUCAAGUAUACCUGUGUAGUGUUAACCGAGUACUUAUUCACCUUGUACAGCUGUAUUCCUACAAAUAUGGUUUACUGUAUCAUUGAUACUGUAGUUUUAAAGACGUGAACAACUAUUUUUAUGAAAAUGCGACCGUACGGAUAUAUUACAUUUUGCUAAGAAAAAAAAACACAUGAAUAAAACUUGUUUACCGAAAGAUAUUCUGAAAUACUGUCAAAUAAACUCUCGACAUGGUCUAAAAGAGACGCUUGGACGUGAUCCUAUACAGAAGAGAGGACGAAUCAAGGGGAGAGAUUUUAUUUAAUAAACAUUUACACAUAGGCACCUU